rnacentral:rRNA from 1 species
GACGAACGCUGGCGGCGUGCUUAACACAUGCAAGUCGAACGGAAAGGCCCUGCUUUUGUGGGGUGCUCGAGUGGCGAACGGGUGAGUAACACGUGAGUAACCUGCCCUUGACUUUGGGAUAACUUCAGGAAACUGGGGCUAAUACCGUAUCGGAGCUCCUGCUGCAUGGUGGGGGUUGGAAAGUUUCGGCGGUUGGGGAUGGACUGGCGGCUUAUCAGCUUGUUGGUUGGGUAGUGGAUUACCAAGGCUUUGACGGGUAGCCGGCCUGAGAGGGUGACCGGCCACAUUGGGACUGAGAUACGGACCAGACUCCUACGGGAGGCAGCAGUGGGGAAUAUUGCACAAUGGGCGGAAGCCUGAUGCAGCAACGCCGCGUGCGGGAUGACGGCCUUCGGGUUGUAAACCGCUUUCGCCUGUGACGAAGCGUUAGUGACGGUAAUGGGUAAAGAAGCACCGGCUAACUACGUG